GACUCUGUGUGACUUCGCUACUCAAUAAAUCACACUAGAUGAAAACUCAGAUCUACAAGGAGGAAUAAAGAACACAAGAAAUAGUAGAUGUGUGGGAAAUAGAGCAUUCUUCCUCAUUCCUUAAGUAUGAGCUGAACAUAGAGACUUCCUUCCAAAGAAUUAAGUAUGGAAAAAGGAAAAAAUGAAUAACCUCACAGUGGAGAAACCUGAUAAACACUACCUCAGCUGAGUGGUCAAAGUUAUCAUCAACAGUGAUAAGUGAUGUUGAUAGUAUGUACCCUUGAAAUUCUUCUGUAAUUUUGAAAUCAUAUCAAAAUUAAAAGUCACAAAAUAAGGCCUGUGGGGAAUUUGACCUCUAUGCACUUGGUACUCAAAUGUGGUCCAUGAACCAGCAGGAUUGUUAUCACCUAUGAUCUUAUUAGAAAUACUGAAUCUCACACCCCACCUCGAUCUACUCUAUCAGAAUCUGUAUUAUACCAACAUGUCCAGGUGAUUUUUAAAUCAUAUUGUAAGCACAUAUCAUAAACACAUACUAAAGACUAAGCAGCCUGCUCUUUAGGACUUUAUUUGUGUGAAAGUACUUAGCACCAUCUGCACGUGUUCUAGAAAUAAAGGGAAGUUGGGUCAUUUAUCCUUUCA